rnacentral:rRNA from 1 species
AGUGAACGCUGGCGGCGUGCCUAAUACAAGCAAGUCGAACGGAAUUUAAAAGAGCUUGCUCUUUUAAAUUUAGUGGCGCACGGGUGAGUAAUAUAUAGCUAUCUGCCCCUUGCUGGAGGACAACAGUUAGAAAUGACUGCUAAUACUCCAUACUCCUUUUUACCAUAAGAUAAAUCGGGAAAGAAUUUCGGCAAGGGAUGAGACUAUAUCGUAUCAGCUAGUCGGUGGGGUAACGGCCUACCGAGGCUAUGACGCGUAACUGGUCUGAGAGGAUGAUCAGUCACAUUGGAACUGAGACACGGUCCAAACUCCUACGGGAGGCAGCAGUAGGGAAUAUUGCGCAAUGGGGGAAACCCUGACGCAGCAACGCCGCGUGGAGGAUGACACUUUUCGGAGCGUAAACUCCUUUUGUUAGGGAAGAAUAAUGA